rnacentral:lncRNA from 10 species
GCGCCGAGGCCGGGCAGGGGAUUUAAAGCUGCUUUCGCGGCUGCCGGCGUGAGCGCUCGUGAUAAACAGCCCGGAGCCGAGCCGCCGCGCAGCCGGGCGGGAGGCUGCGUAUCAGAGCUCCUGAUGGGGAAACUGAGGCCUGGAAACAGAGAACGGUGGGACCAAGGUCACAUGAUGGCGGAAGGAGGACAAGGAAGGAGGCUGACUGCGUAUCCAGCACGUGUUCCGUGCCAAGCCUGUGCAGGGGCCAAGGACCGGGGUCUCUGGACAGCGCCGGUUGCUGGGUCCCACGCUGGGCGACAGGGCCUUUGCAAUCAGGCCGACAGGGUUUGAACCCUUGCCGCGGCACUUUCCAGAUGGCCUUGGCCACUGUCCCCUCUCUGACCUUCAGAUGGAGCCCAUGGCACCUCCGGAGGGGGUGUGUGCUUCCAGGACCAAAUCCACUUGUGCGUGGUUAGGCACGAGGUGGGGGGAGGCGGCUCAGCCACCGGGACCUGUCCUGCCUCCACCCUCUGUGCAACCCCUUUCCUUGCCUUUUGUCUCUGUUGCUUUUGGGGGGUGAUUAGCCGCUAGCUCAGCGGCUAGAGGAUUCUCUCCCGGAAAAGGCUCCGGAGUUGAGGCCCAGACCCCCAGGGCAAGACGGAAUCUGCUCCCCAGGGCACUAACUGAGACUCGGUUCCCUCACUGGUAAAAUGAGAAAACUCACUUAUGGUCAGGGGUCCCCGAGUUAAUGCCAGUGAAUUCCUUGGCAGAGCAUCAAGCACUUGGAGAAGCCCCCACCCCCGGUCAUUGUGAUGAUGGUUUGUUUGUUUGUUUGUUUGUUUUGAGACGGAGUCUCGCUCUGUCGCCCAGGCUGGAGUGCAGUGGCGCGAUCUCGGCUCACUGCAAGCUCUGCCUCCCGGGUUCACGCCAUUCAGGGGAGUGGCGCCGAGACACCGUGUAGCGCCCAUGCCAAGGAGGAAGCGAGACAGCAGGAGCGGAGGAAAGAACCCCGGGCUGUGUUGAGGAAGCCUCCUACUUUUGCCUGAAGUGAGGUCUCCUAUAGAGAGAAGCGUUGACUGGGGACACUCGCUGCUUGCGUUUUGCUGGUAG